GAGUUUGAUCCUGGCUCAGGAUAAACGCUGGCGGCGCACAUAAGACAUGCAAGUCGAACGGAAGUCGUUAUUAAAUGGAAUGAAGAUUUAUCGGAGUGAAGUUUAGUAACAAUGGCUUUAGUGGCGGACUGGUGAGUAACACGUAAGCAAUCUACCUAUUAGAGGGGAAUAACAAUGAGAAAUCAUUGCUAAUACCGCAUAAGCUUGUAGUAUCGCAUGAUACAGCAAGAAAAGGAGCAAUCCGCUAAUAGAUGAGCUUGCGGCUGAUUAGCUAGUUGGUGUGGUAACGGCAUACCAAGGCAACGAUCAGUAGCCGGGCUGAGAGGCUCAUCGGCCACAUUGGGACUGAGAUACGGCCCAGACUCCUACGGGAGGCAGCAGUCGGGAAUAUUGCGCAAUGGAGGAAACUCUGACGCAGUGACGCCGCGUAUAGGAAGAAGGUUUUCGGAUUGUAAACUAUUUUAGUCAGGGAAGAAAAAUGACAGUACCUGAAGAAUAAGCUCCGGCUAACUACGUGCCAGCCGCCGCGGUAAUAC
rnacentral:rRNA from 1 species